UACGAAGGGGGCUAGCGUUGUUCGGAAUUACUGGGCGUAAAGCGCACGUAGGCGGACUAUUAAGUCAGGGGUGAAAUCCCGGGGCUCAACCCCGGAACUGCCUUUGAUACUGGUAGUCUCGAGUCCGGAAGAGGUGAGUGGAAUUCCGAGUGUAGAGGUGAAAUUCGUAGAUAUUCGGAAGAACACCAGUGGCGAAGGCGACUUACUGGACGAUUGUUGACGCUGAGGUGCGAAAGCGUGGGGAGCAAACAGG
rnacentral:rRNA from 1 species